rnacentral:rRNA from 1 species
GUAAACUGCUUUUGUCAGGGACGAAAAGGAUCGUGAUAAUGCCAUGGUCUGCUGACGGUACCUGAAGAAUAAGCACCGGCUAACUACGUGCCAGCAGCCGCGGUAAUACGUAGGGUGCAAGCGUUAAUCGGAAUUACUGGGCGUAAAGCGUGCGCAGGCGGUUCUGUAAGACAGAUGUGAAAUCCCCGGGCUCAACCUGGGAAUUGCAUUUGUGACUGCAGGACUAGAGUUCAUCAGAGGGGGGUGGAAUUCCAAGUGUAGCAGUGAAAUGCGUAGAUAUUUGGAAGAACACCAAUGGCGAAGGCAGCCCCCUGGGAUGCGACUGACGCUCAUGCACGAAAGCGUGGGGAGCAAACAGGAUUAGAUACCCUGGUAGUCCACGCCCUAAACGAUAAGUAGUGGUUGUUGGGGUUUUUUAACCUUGGUAACGAAG